GGGAAUUUUCCGCAAUGGGCGAAAGCCUGACGGAGCAAUACCGCGUGAGGGAUGACUGCCUAUGGGUUGUAAACCUCUUUUUUCAGGGAGGAAUCAAUGACGUGUACCUGAAGAAUAAGCAUCGGCUAACUCCGUGCCAGCAGCCGCGGUAAGACGGAGGAUGCAAGUGUUAUCCGGAAUCACUGGGCGUAAAGCGUCUGUAGGUGGUUUAAUAAGUCAACUGUUAAAUCUUGAGGCCCAACCUCAAAAUCGCAGUCGAAACUAUUAGACUAGAGUAUAGUAGAGGUAAAGGGAAUUUCCAGUGGAGCGGUGAAAUGCGUAGAUAUUGGAAAGAACACCGAUGGCGAAAGCACUUUACUGGGCUAUUACUAACACUCAGAGACGAAAGCUAGGGUAGCAAAUGGGAUUAGAUACCCCAGUAGUCA
rnacentral:rRNA from 1 species